CCCUCUGUGGCUGCAGGGAGUGGAGAUAGUGCACACUCAGGAAAUAGCCUCCACCAGGCCACAACCCAAGCAGGCUAGCAGGGCUGCCUCUGCGAAGGCUGAAGGGAACUCUAGAAGCAGGCUCGUGGGAAGUAGGAAGAUUCCCUUCAGAACAGUCAUUUCCCCCAGAGCCACCCACUUCCUGUCCAGAGCCCAAGCGUACCCACAAGGGUAAGGUGGUGAUUAAAGUCACUCGGAGAAGCCGUCUUCAUACUUCUGUCCCAAGACCGCAAAAAUGCCCCACUUUCCGUUUACAUAACCGAGGGAGACCUUCACUGCAGAGCAAAGGCGAUGUUUCCACAGGAGCCUGGCGCGCCACAAAACAGCCUGCAACUUCAGAAGAGAACAAACACCACUCGGCCCCACAGGGUACCGCUCUGGCGAGGCACCUGUGCCAAGGCGGGCAGGUGUUCCAGCAUGUGACCAAGCUGGAGAAGGGAGCUGGCUUUUGAGUUCCUGGGCAGGCUGGUGAGGAGUGUGCAGAGAAGAGACGCCGGACACUGGAAGCUGGACCAGGAUGUGGAACAAGAGAUGGUCCGAGGAAGCAUCCCAAUUAAGGGUCCUUUGUGGGCAGCCAGUGCCUUUAAGCGUCCAUAGCCUCUCAAGUGUCGGGGACUGUGUGGUGGUGGAGGCCAUCCCGAGGGACAAGGAGACUUAGAGGGAGGUCUGUGCACAGUGAGCUUGCAUAUGGAAACCAGAAGCCCAGGACACUGAGGACACAAUGUGUGAGUGGGAGCAUUGGUUUCUUUAUCAACUCAGUGGUGGUGACGAGCCUUGCUGGGGACCUGGCAGAGAAAAACCAUAUCCUUUGGGUCAUCAAAUCCACGGUCAGAAAAGUCCAGCGAGAAACUUUGGGAACCAUUAAAGUCCCCAUGUGGAAUUGACAGCUUCCAUCUCCCAAGGCCAGGAACAGGAGGCCAGGCCACCCUGGCAGGCAAGGGCAGGCAGGCUGGGAGACGGAUGCUAAGGAGAGAAGUUGAAGAGAGGCAGCUGAGCUGUACUGGGACUGACAGCCUCAUUUGGAGGCUAGCAAAGUGUAUUCUCUCCCAAUACUGAAAAGUGGCAGAGAGCUGCAACUCUAAGCUCAUGAUCACGUGGAGGAAACCUACACUCUAUAUGCUGAUGUGUCUAGGUUGAAACCUGCAGGACACAUGUGACCCAGUCCUGCUAGACAAGCAUUCUAUCAUUGAGUUACAUCCCCAGCAUUCAUGUCUUGAACUUGUUGAAGUGGACUUCCUAAGCAGGGACUGUGCAAUCCAGUGACCACAGACCCCGCCAGAUGGUCCACAUCUGUCCUGAUUCAUUGCUGUUGCACACUGGGCACCUCUGGGCAUUUGAACUUGCAAGUCCCACUUAUGCACAGGUAAUGAUUCUUCCUGCCCUAACUGCUCACUUGGUGAUACACACAGGGUCCCCUUGGCUGGAGGCUGUCUUUUUUACUCAAUCCCAGACAGAGAUUCUGAGACAAAUCAAAAGGAUCUGGCUUGUAUGAAUCAAUGUCCUUCUCUUUGAUUUUCCUUCUGGCCACUCAGCACUGCCAGAGCCUGUGGGGAGACAUCUGACUUGUUUCAGACAACCACACCAGAGUGAACCCCUGCCUUGGGGUGGCCAUGUGGUUAACCCCAGCAUGGCGUGCAGCAAUCUUCAAACUUUAUUUAUGGACAUGACAGAUGACAGAGGGGCUGACUUUCUUCCUCGGGUCUCAUCUGUUCCUCAACCCUAAGUUUCAGAAGAACCUGUUGCCUCAAAUGUGGGUGAGACACACAAGAGAGAUCAGACUUACAUGAGAAAACUCACACCAUCCAUUCGCUGUGCCCGUCCUCUGUACAAGAGACACGGGUAGAACAGUGGACGUACAGAGCAACACCGAUAGCAGGAAGGGCAUGAGCAGGAACGCCAGCAGCACAAGCACAGUCUGGGGUGGGGGGGGAGAACCGUGUGGAAACGAACAGCAGAGUUUGGGCUGAGAACUGAACUGACUGCGUGGCGGAUGGUGAAUUCACAGUAAAGAACAGUUAAUACGUGAAUAAAAGUCAAAUUGAAACGCUA